rnacentral:snoRNA from 1 species
AAGACUGUGCUUUUAGGGAUCAUUUCUGUAGUUGGUGACUAGAGGGAUGUGUCCAAAAAUGAUUGGUCUUGCUAGCCACAAGGAGAAGUUGUAGUAUUUUCUCCUGAGCAUGAAGCUAGUAGGUAGUGCUGUUUGUGUACAGUUGCUGCUUGCUCUUGAUGACUGCUCUUCUUUCUUUGGGAAGCUAGAGGAUGAAGGUGCAAACUGAGUGGU